UACGUAGGGGGCUAGCGUUGUCCGGAAUCAUUGGGCGUAAAGCGCGUGUAGGCGGUCCGGUAAGUCCGCUGUGAAAGUCGGGGGCUCAACCCUCGGAUGCCGGUGGAUACUGUCGGGCUUGAGUACGGAAGAGGCGAGUGGAAUUCCUGGUGUAGCGGUGAAAUGCGUAGAGAUGUGGAGGAACACCAGUGGCGAAGGCGGCUCACUGGCCCGGUACUGACGCUGAGGUGCGAAAGCGUGGGGAGCAAACAGG
rnacentral:rRNA from 1 species